CCCGCUGAACUUAAGCAUAUCAGUAAGCGGAGGAAAAGAAACUAACAAGGAUUCCCCUAGUAACGGCGAGUGAAGCGGGAACAGCUCAAAUUUAGAAUCUCAACAUGUAGUGUUGCGAAUUGUAGUCUAAAGAAGGCGAUCGAGGAGGAAAAGGUUUGUCAAGUCCCUUGGAACAGGGCGCCAGAGAGGGUGAGAGCCCCGUCAACAAACCCAGUUCUUCGUAUGAGAACCUUUCAACGAGUCGAGUUGUUUGGGAAUGCAGCUCAAAGCGGGUGGUAAAUCCCAUCCAAGGCUAAAUAUUGGCAAGAGACCGAUAGCGAACAAGUACCGUGAGGGAAAGAUGAAAAGCACCUUGAAAAGGGAGUUAAACAGUGCGUGAAAUUGUUAAAAGGGAAACGAUAGUGACCAGUGUUGUGGGCUGGUGUAAUGCGGUGGUGGUGUGCGGUGUGUAUCAUCACUAAUCACCCCGCAAGCAGCUGGCUCACGAGUCAAUGCCAGUUGAAUCGGACGGACACGCGCCUGCGGAAGAUGGGGUCGCCUCUGGGUGUGCUCUUUAUAGACGCGGGACGCAGCGAUCGGUGCGACUGGAAGGUGUGUGACGUGGUUGUGGUUGGGGGGUUUGGUGAGUAGUUGGUGUGCCUUGGUGUGCUUUGGUGUGCCUUGGCGUGCUGACUGCUCAUCACACCUCACAAUCCAAUCCCCUAGCAGGCCGUCCUUGACAAAAUGGUCGUUAACGACCCGUCUUGAAACACGG
rnacentral:rRNA from 1 species